ACGCUCUUUCUCUGGUUGUAAUCCUAGUAGAUAUUUAACAAAAGUUUUGUGAUAAAAUGACUUAUAUCUCAUUGAUCGUUCUCUCAACUAGGGUCUAAUGUAUUUUACCAGUAAACGUUAAGGUUGAACUACUAUUGAAGUGACAUGUUUGACUCCUAAGAGAGUCAACUAUUUAAUAUGUAUGCUUAAUUUGAUUGAAAUGUUAGAUAGACCGAAUUUGCACUUUUGGUUAUGACUUCAUAGUAUAAGCCGGUUGAUGUAUCAAUUUGAAUAAAAGGCCAUUUAAGGAGUUGCAAAAAAGGACCUAGCCGGUGUCGCUUCAAUAUGGGUCAAAAAGUGAUUUUCUAAGUCCCAACUGGUCUAUAUGAUAUGAGCAUACGAUUUGCACUUUUUGAGAUUCGAUUUGUAUUAUGGAGUCAUGAAAACACUUGAAACUAAUACCGCCUUCUUUCUCUACUUAAAUUUGAAAUAAAUAGUUUAUUAAAAUGUAGACCAGGAUGGCAGGGAGUUCAAAACUAAUGGUUGUGUAAAUCUUAUCACUUGAUUUUGUGUAACAGAGCAGAGAAAGUAGACUUAACAAUUCCACACAUACAUUACCUACUAUGCUUUCGUUGACAAGUUUAAAAGUAAAAACAAUCCAAAUAUUGUGAAGUAUCUUUCAAGGCAUUGAAAUACAAGCAAUAAUAGAUUCGGGGAAAAGUUACCAAAUGAGAAUACACGCAACAUCCUCAAUAAUCCCAGGUUAGUAAACCAAAGAAAGUCAAAGUUCAAGCAGUAGCUGAAAAGAAGCCAUCCGAGUUUUAUGACAACAAAAAUUUUCACGUCAUGUAGCUCCAAGUCCUUAAAAAUUACAGAGAAAGACAUCCGCAUGCAAUGCCACAGUUCUAGAAAUUAUACCCUUUUCUAAAGCAAAUUCGGUACGUUUCUAGAACAGGGCGAACAACUACCCAAUUACCAAACGCUGGAACAACCGAUGCCGCCCAUCGGGCGGCGUGAACCUCCUAGUUAGAAAUAAGCACAUAGGUGUUAGAUAUUCAUUUUAAAAUGAAGGAUUAAAAGCAUGUUUUAUUUAAUUAAAAACUAUUACCUUUGAUGCACAGUUGUACACAAUUUGUAUAAAACGAAUAACACAUCCAUUUAGCCAUAUGUGUACUCUUAUAGGGUGUU